GAGGGCGCAAGAGACCGCGGGGGUGGACAAGGCCGCUCGCCCGAGAUUGCGCGCGGAAGUAGACCUCCUUUCUCGCGACGGGGUAGCGGUUCCGGGAUCCCCCAGAACUAGUUUGACUCUUUUCAUCGACAAUAAUCUGGUGCCCAACAUUGAGCCUCAGAGAAGACUCAGGAUCCUGAAGGAGUUGCCCAAAACUGGAGCUAAGGUACCAGCAGGAGCCCAUUGAAGCCUCACCGAAUUCAAGCUUCUCCUUCGGUGGAACUGGAUAAAAUGAGAAGAUGGCAAUCUGCAAACCAAGAAGCAGACCCUCAUCAGACACUGGCACCUUGAUUUUGGACUUCCCAGCCUCCAGAACUAAUGCAACAGUGAGACAGCCUUCUACAAACCAGGAAGAGUGCCCUCGCCAGAAAAUGGAUUUGCUGACACUUUGAUAUUGGAAUUCCCAGCCCCCAGGACUGUGAGAAAUAAAUUUCUGUCAUUUAAGCA